rnacentral:rRNA from 1 species
AACGCGAAGAACCUUACCAGGUCUUGACAUCCCUCUGAAUAGGGUAGAGAUAUCCUAGGCCUUCGGGACAGAGGAGACAGGUGGUGCAUGGUUGUCGUCAGCUCGUGUCGUGAGAUGUUGGGUUAAGUCCCGCAACGAGCGCAACCCUUGAUCUUAGUUGCCAGCACCUCGGGUGGGCACUCUAGGAUGACUGCCGGUGACAAACCGGAGGAAGGCGGGGAUGACGUCAAAUCAUCAUGCCCCUUAUGACCUGGGCUACACACGUACUACAAUGGCCGGUACAACGGGCCGCGAAGCCGCGAGGUGGAGCCAAUCCUAGAAAGCCGGUCUCAGUUCGGAUUGCAGGCUGCAACUCGCCUGCAUGAAGUCGGAAUUGCUAGUAAUCGCGGAUCAGCAUGCCGCGGUGAAUACGUUCCCGGGCCUUGUACACACCGCGCAUA